GGCAACAUGGUGUAGGGGUUUGAGCACUGGACUGUGACUCUGGAGAUCACGGUUCGAUUCCCUGCUUGGCCA